GAGCCCGAGAUGGGUACUGAGACACGAAUCCAGCCCUACGGGCGCAGCAGGCGCGAAACUUUACAAUGCGGCAACCGUGAUAAGGGAACCUCGAGUGCCUGUAAAUGCAGGCUGUUCAGAUGCCUAAAACACAUCUGGAGAAAGGGCCGGGCAAGACCGGUGCCAGCCGCCGCGGUAAUACCGGCGGCUCGAGUGGUGGCCACUUUUAUUGGGCUUAAAGCGUUCGUAGCUGGGUUGUUAAGUCUCUUGGGAAAUCUGGCGGCUUAACCGUCAGGCGUCUAAGGGAUACUGGCAAUCUUGGAACCGGGAGAGGUGAGGGGUACUUCGGGGGUAGGAGUGAAAUCCUGUAAUCCUCGAGGGACCACCUGUGRMGAAGRCGCCUCACCAGAACGGCUUCGACAGUGAGGGACGAAAGCUGGGGGAGCAAACCGGAUUAGAUACCCGGGUAGUCCCAGCCGUAAACGAUGUGCGUUAGGUGUAUCGACGACCACGAGUCGUCGAGGUGCCGAAGGGAAACCGUGAAACGUACCGCCUGGGGAGUACGGUCGCAAGGCUGAAACUUAAAGGAAUUGGCGGGGGAG
rnacentral:rRNA from 1 species